GGACUACUGGGGUAUCUAAUCCUGUUUGCUACCCACGCUUUCGUGCCUCAGCGUCAGUAAAAGCCCAGUAGGCCGCCUUCGCCACUGGUGUUCCUCCGAAUAUCUACGCAUUUCACCGCUACACUCGGAAUUCCGCCUACCUCUACUUCACUCAAGAACGAUAGUUUUGGAUGCAGGCUAUGGGUUAAGCCCAUAGGUUUCACAUCCAACUUACCGUCCCGCCUGCGCACCCUUUACACCCAGUAAUUCCGGACAACGCUCGCUCCCUACGUAUUACCGCGGCGGCUGGCAC
rnacentral:rRNA from 1 species